rnacentral:lncRNA from 1 species
AAAAAAAUCAGAUAUUUACAUAAAAUUUUUAUAUUUUAGCCUAAUUUAAUUACUUAAUAUUUCUAUAAGUUAAUUUCAUACAAUUUUUUAUAAACAUAUCGAAUAAUAAAUAUAUCUCUAUAAAAUUCAACUUCUCAUAUUUAUCUAUGUUAAAAUUUCGUGAUAUUCAUAUUUGCCCAUCUGGUUAGAGCACGGUUUAUUUUUCAAUAGAAGAUAAGUAAAAUAAUAUUUUGACCAUUACAAAUAUGUCCCUCCAAAAAUCUUAUCUGUUAAAAUUAGGCAGAAAUAUUCUCCCAAAAAUUUCCUACAGUCACUUCUUUUUUUCUACUAUCACAAAUAAUAUAAAAGGGGUUAAAAAAUCAAUUUACCUCAUUUACUAACCAGGUUAAGUAUUUAAUCUAUGAUUAACUAUAUUUUUUUAACGGAUCCUAACAGUAGGGUAUAUUUGAAAACAUUAAAAGUUUUAUAGGAGUAAAUAUUAAAAGUUGAACUUUUAAGAAAUACAUCUUUUAUAGGGUAAACUUCAAAUGCCCUCCUUGUAAUUUCACACUUUCUCACUUUAGUUUCCUGUGGUUUAAAGUAUAUCAAGUUAGGCCAUGUGAUUUCGCACUUUCUCACUUUCGUACCGUGUGAUUUAAAGUGUAUCAAGUUAGUACCCUGUGGUUUUAUUUUUCUCUUUUUAUUAUCUAUUUCACUAAUUUUUUUCGUUAAAUUAGUGACAAAUUUAAAAUUAAAGGAUACUAAAGUGAAUAUUCAAUAAACCUAGGUAGGGUAUCUGAAGUUUUUUUGCAUAUAAUUUAACGAAAUAUUAACGGGGAAAAAAAAAUCAGUAACAAAGUUAAAACUAAAGAGUACUAAAAUAAAUAUUCGAUAAACCUCGGUAAGGUAUCUGAAGUUUUUUGUAUAUAAUUUAACGAAAUAUUAACAGAGGAGCCGACGAAAAGAGAAAAAUGAAACCAUAGGAUACUAAAUUGAUGCACUUUAAACUAUAGGGUACUAAACUGAGAAAGUGCUAAACUACAGGGUACUAAAUUGAUAUACUUUAAACCACAUGGUACUAAAAUGAAAAAGUGUGAAACCAUAGGAAUAGUACUUGAAGUUUUUCCUAUUUAUUAUUCGAUAUGUUUACAUAGAACUGUAUGCAAGUACCCCUAUUUUU